AGGCAGCCGCCCUCGCGCUGUGCAAUUUCUGGUCUUUCGUUGCUUCUGGUCCAGGCUAAUAAAGUUUUUCUUUCUUUAAUUUUUUUUCUUCUAGUUUUAACGGGAGAAAUUAACUCCCCGGGGCCGCCGGGUUGACUGCGCUGCCUGGGCCGGAGGUCUUCUCCGGCCAGGGAGCGCUGUGGGAAGGGGCUCGAGCGGCCAGGGCCAGGCGAGGCCGGGGGGGCGGGGGGUUAGGGGACCGCGGGGCUACUCUUGGGAGCGCCCCUGUCCGGCUGGCUGCGCGCCGGUUUUAAAUAGCAUCUUUCGGACUUGUCUUCGCGGCCCCAGUCCCCGACCUCGGCGCUGCCUGGGCUCCUGCAGCCUCUCCCUAAGUCUUCUCCAAACGACCACCUCACGGAUUCCUUAUGGAUCGCAGCUCCAAGAGGAGGCAGGUGAAGCCUUUGGCAGCUUCUCUGCUGGAAGCUCUUGAUUAUGAUAGUUCAGAUGACAGUGAUUUUAAAGUUGGAGAUGCCUCAGGACUCGCUGAUUCUUGAGAAGAGUCAAAACUGGAGCUCUCAAAAAAUGGACCAUAUUCUGAUUUGCUGUGUUUGUCUGGGAGAUAAUAGUGAGGACGCUGAUGAAAUAAUUCAGUGUGACAAUUGUGGCAUUACAGUCCAUGAAGGUUGUUAUGGAGUUGAUGGAGAGAGUGACUCUAUUAUGAGUUCAGCUUCUGAAAACUCCACUGAACCUUGGUUUUGUGAUGCCUGUAAAUGUGGUGUUUCUCCUAGCUGUGAACUGUGUCCUAAUCAGGAUGGAAUUUUCAAGGAGACAGAUGCUGGAAGAUGGGUUCAUAUUGUUUGUGCCCUGUAUGUUCCUGGAGUAGCCUUUGGAGAUAUUGACAAAUUACGACCAGUAACACUAACGGAAAUGAACUAUUCCAAAUAUGGUGCCAAGACCCUCGCUUUGCUAGAACUGGGGUUUGCAUUAGCUGUGAUGCAGGGAUGUGCAGAGCCUAUUUCCAUGUGACCUGUGCUCAAAAGGAAGGUCUGCUUUCAGAGGCAGCGGCGGAAGAGGAUAUAGCAGAUCCAUUCUUUGCUUAUUGUAAGCAACAUGCAGAUAGGUUAGACAGAAAGUGGAAGAGAAAAAACUACUUGGCUCUACAGUCCUAUUGUAAAAUGUCUUUGCAAGAGAGAGAGAAGCAACUAUCACCAGAAGCACAGGCAAGGAUCAAUGCCCGGCUUCAGCAGUAUCGUGCCAAAGCAGAACUAGCUCGAUCUACCAGACCCCAGGCCUGGGUUCCAAGGGAAAAAUUGCCCAGACCACUCACCAGCAGUGCUUCAGCUAUUCGUAAACUUAUGCGGAAAGCAGAACUCAUGGGGAUCAGUACAGAUAUCUUUCCAGUGGACAAUUCAGAUACUAGUUCUAGUGUGGAUGGAAGGAGAAAACAUAAGCAACCAGCUCUCACUGCAGAUUUUGUGAAUUAUUAUUUUGAGAGAAAUAUGCGCAUGAUUCAAAUUCAGGAAAAUAUGGCUGAAC
rnacentral:lncRNA from 1 species